AUUGAACGCUGGCGGCAGGCCUAACACAUGCAAGUCGAGCGAGCGGCGGACGGGUGAGUAAUGUAUGGGGACUGCCCGAUAGAGGGGGAUAACUACUGGAAACGGUAGCUAAUCCCGCAUACUAUCGGAUAACCCAUAUGGGAUUCGCUAUUAGGUGAGGUAAGGGCUCACCUAGGCGACGAUCCCUAGCUUGUCUGAGAGUAAGAUCAGCCACACGGGGACGGAGACACGGACCAGACUCCGACGGAGGCAGCAGUGGGGAAUAUUGCACAAUGGGCGCAAGCCUGAUGCAGCCAGGCCGCGUGUAUGAAGAAGGGCCUAGGGUUGUAAAGUACUUUCAGUCGGGAGGCGUUACCGACAGAAGAAGCACCGGCUAACUCCGUGCCAGCAGCCGCGGUAAUAC
rnacentral:rRNA from 1 species